GACGAGGGGGGCUAGCGUUGUUCGGAAUUACUGGGCGUAAAGCGCGUGUAGGCGGUUGCCCAAGUCGGGUGUGAAAGCCUUGAGCUCAACUCAAGAAAUGCACUCGGUACUGGGUGACUAGAGGACCGGAGAGGAUAGUGGAAUUCCCAGUGUAGUGGUGAAAUACGUAGAGAUUGGGAAGAACACCAGUGGCGAAGGCGGCUAUCUGGACGGUUUCUGACGCUAAGGCGCGAAAGCGUGGGGAGCAAACAGG
rnacentral:rRNA from 1 species